UACGAGAGGCCCAAACGUUAUUCGGAAUUACUGGGCUUAAAGAGUCCGUAGGCGGCGCGGAAAGUGGGGUGUGAAAUCCUUCGGCCCAACCGAGGAAUUGCGCUUCAAACCGGCAAGCUAGAGGAGGAUAGAGGUGGGCGGAACUGAUGGUGGAGCGGUGAAAUGCGUUGAUAUCAUCAGGAACACCGGAGGCGAAGGCGGUCCACUGGGUCCUAUCUGACGCUGAGGGACGAAAGCUAGGGGAGCGAACGGG
rnacentral:rRNA from 1 species